rnacentral:lncRNA from 1 species
CUCAAAUUGAUGGCAAAUUCUCAUCUGGGUCUAACUCUUUUCUCUCUAGUUCUCUUCUUUUCUCUCCCAAGACCCACUCUCUCACAAGACCCUUCUCCUACAGUCUUUGAAAUCUUGCCAAAAUUUGGUCUUCCCAGUGGGCUAUUACCUAAAACAGUAAAAAGUUACAGUCUUUCUGAUGAUGGUAGCUUUACUGUCUAUUUAGAGAAGGAAUGUUAUGUUGAGUUUGAUUACCUGGUCUACUACGAGAAGAAAAUAACUGGGAAGUUGAGCUAUGGAUCUAUCUCGAAUUUGAAGGGGAUUCAGGUUCAAAGGUUCUUCCUUUGGCUUGGUGUUGAUAACAUCAGGGUUGAUUUACCACCGUCUGACUCGAUUUAUUUUCA